GAUGAACGCUGGCGGCGUGCCUAAUACAUGCAAGUCGAGCGAACAGACGAGGAGCUUGCUCCUCUGACGUUAGCGGCGGACGGGUGAGUAACACGUGGAUAACCUACCUAUAAGACUGGGAUAACUUCGGGAAACCGGAGCUAAUACCGGAUAAUAUAUUGAACCGCAUGGUUCAAUAGUGAAAGACGGUUUUGCUGUCACUUAUAGAUGGAUCCGCGCCGCAUUAGCUAGUUGGUAAGGUAACGGCUUACCAAGGCAACGAUGCGUAGCCGACCUGAGAGCGUGAUCGGCCACACUGGAACUGAGACACGGUCCAGACACCUACGGGAGGCAGCAGUAGGGAAUCUUCCGCAAUGGGCGAAAGCUUGACGGAGCAACGCCGCGUGAGUGAUGAAGGUCUUCGGAUCGUAAAACUCUGUUAUUAGGGAAGAACAAAUGUGUAAGUAACUAUGCACGUCUUGACGGUACCUAAUCAGAAAGCCACGGCUAACUACGUG
rnacentral:rRNA from 1 species